CCAGACUCCUACGGGAGGCAGCAGUGGGGAAUAUUGCACAAUGGGGGAAACCCUGAUGCAGCAACGCCGCGUGAGUGAAGAAGCGUUUCGGCGCGUAAAGCUCUGUCAGCGGGGAAGAAAGAAGACGGUACCCGACCAAGAAGCACCGGCUAACUCCGUGCCAGCAGCCGCGGUAAUACGGAGGGUGCAAGCGUUGUCCGGAAUCAUUGGGCGUAAAGAGUUCGUAGGCGGUAUGUUAAGUCUGGUGUUAAAUGCAGAAGCUCAACUUCUGUUCGGCACUGGAUACUGGCAAACUAGAAUGCGGUAGAGGUAAAGGGAAUUCCUGGUGUAGCGGUGAAAUGCUUAGAUAUCGGGAGGAACAUCGGUGGCGUAAGCGCUUUACUGGGCCGUAAUUGACGCUGAGGAACGAAAGCCAGGGUAGCAAAUGGGAUUAGAUACCCUAGUAG
rnacentral:rRNA from 1 species